AGAGCAGAUCUUGGACUGAGACCUACAGGACACAGCGACUCUUAAAUAGGUGGCUCACCAGGAGAAAGGCAUAGCAGAACCUGGACUGAGACCUACGGGAGACAGAUCACCCUGGCCCACCAUGCCCUAUCCUGUGCCUAAAAAAACCCUGGGACCCUAGCAGGCAGACACACAGGAGGUUGGACGUCGAGAGGAGCACAUCAGUGCAAGAACACAUGGGUGGCUGCCACUUCUCUCCCUUUCCUGAGAGGGAAAAACUCUCGACGCUGAGAGGAAUCCACCAACAGGCACCAGCACUCUGGCAGGCCACCGACCAAUGGAUUGACAUAGAGUUUGGCUGGGGCAGCCAGAGGAGAGCCUGGGCCGCUGAAUAACCCGACUUCAGGGGAAAACUAUUCUCCCUUUUGGCUCCCCCAUCUGCUGAGAGCUACUUCCACUCAAUAAAACCUUGCACUCAUUCUCCAAGA
rnacentral:lncRNA from 1 species